rnacentral:rRNA from 1 species
AUGCACAAUUUCGUUAUUAACUUCAUAGCUGACUUUGAUCAGUUGAGUGCACGGCCAGAACCUCCACUACAGACGGCUCCUGCACAAGCAAACCAAAAUUUGAAGUGGAUCCCGCCGGUUCAGGGUUCCAUAAAGAUUAAUGUUGACGCUGCAAUUUCCACCAACCAUAAUGUUGGUACGGCUGCUGCCGUGUGCCGGGACAGUGAUGGCGCUUAUUUGGGCUCUUCCAUGCUGGUCAUUCAUGGGUUGUUGGAUCCACCGACGCUAGAAGCUAUUGCAUACAAGGAAGGCCUUUCUUUGGCGCAAGAUCUUGGGAUGGUUCAUCUAUAUGUCCCUUCGGAUUGCAAACAGGUAGUACAUCAUAUACAUCAGAGAGUUGAAGGGGACUGCGGCAUCAUCAUCAGAGAGAUUUUAGAUAUUUCUCAUUCCUUUGCAUCUUGUAAUUUCUUUUUUGAACCUCGAGCUGUGAACUAUGAAGCUCACAGGCUAGCUAGGUUUGGUGUUUCUCUCCCGGUUGGGAGGCAUCUUUGGCUGGGUACUCCUUAUGACCCAGUUGUAAUUCCUGCAACCAUUUUAGCAGGGCCGUCUCCAGGAAUUCGGGGGCCCGGUGCGAAAUGCAAAAUAAGGCCCUAA